rnacentral:rRNA from 1 species
GACGAACGCUAGCGGCGUGCUUAACACAUGCAAGUCGAGCGAUGAAGCACCUUCGGGUGUGAAUUAGCGGCGAACGGGUGAGGAACACGUGAGAAAUCUGCCUUCAACACUGGGAUAACUCCGGGAAACCGGGGCUAAUACCGGAUAUGAAACCUGCGGGCAUCCGCGGGUUUGGAAAGUUUUUCGGGUGAAGCUGAUCCCGCGGCCUAUCAGCUUGUUGGUGAGGUAAUGGAUCACCAAGGGGACGACGGGUAGCCGGACUGAGAGGGCGACCGGCCACACUGGGACUGAGACACGGCCCAGACUCCUACGGGAGGCAGCAGUGGGGAAUAUUGGGCAAUGGAGGAAACUCUGACCCAGCGACGCCGCGUGCGGGAUGAAGGCCUUCGGGUUGUAAACCGCUUUCAGCAGGGAAGAAGCGAAAGUGACGGUACCUGCAGAAGAAGCACCGGCUAACUAUGUGCCAGCCGCCGCCGUAA